rnacentral:rRNA from 1 species
AUUGAACGCUGGCGGCAUGCCUAAUACAUGCAAGUCGAGCGCCGCGUCGGACGGGUGAUUACUGCCUAGUAAUCUGCCUGUUGGUGGGGUAUACCUUACGGAAACGGACGCUACUCCCACAUACUUUCAGAUUAGCCUAGGUCGGAUGAGCUAGUUGGUGCGGUAAAGGCCUACCAAGUCGACGAUCCGUAACUGGUCUGAGAGGAUGAUCAGUCAAACUGGGACUGAGACACGGGCCAGACUCCUACGGGAGGCAGCAGUGGGGAAUAUUGGACAAUGGGCGAAAGCCUGAUCCAGCCAGGCCGCGUGUGUGAAGAAGGUCUUCGGAUUGUAAAGCACUUUAAGUUGGGAGGCGUUACCAAAAGAAUAAGCACCGGCUAACUUCGUGCCAGCAGCCGCGGUAAUUC